GCCUUCGUGGUGUAGUGGUCAGCACGCUCGACGCGUAACCGAGAGAUCCGUGGUUCGAUUCCCGUCGAAGGCG
rnacentral:tRNA from 1 species